rnacentral:tRNA from 1 species
GGGAUUAUAGAUUAAUGGUAGAUCCGUCGCUUUGCAUGCGACUAAUAUCGGUUCAAUUCCGAUUAAUUCCA